AACAUAAUGACGGAUGCGAAUAAUAUGUUUUAUACCGCAAUUAAAUCAUUUUUUGACUCUUGUGUUCCGAUGUACUAUCCGUCAAUCUCUAAACCUCCUUGGUUUAAUAAAGAGUUGACACAUCUAAGAAAUGUUAAGUCCAGACCUUACACAUAAUUUUAAAAAACCGGUUUCCAUCCUUUCUAAAUAUGUAAGCGCUCGGUUAAACUUUACCGUGCUUAACGCUCAGUACUACAGGAAUUAUUUAAACCGUUAUAAGUUCCAGUUCGCACAGGAUCCGAAACGCACAGGAUCUCUGGAAUCUUCACAGUUUCCUCAUAUAUGGCAGGAGUCCUUUGUGAUUCCUCUUCAUAAAAAAGGUAGCAAACUGGAUGCAAUUACAGCAAUUACAGCAGAAUCUCUAAAUUGUCGGCUAUCCCAAAACCUUUUGAAAAUGUUAUCCUCCUCAUUUGCAGCACCUUUGUAGAUCAAUCAUAUUACCGUGUCAGCACGGUUUUAUAUAACGCAGAUCAACAACCACUAACCUCUUGGAGCUAACUUCUUUCGUAAUACAGGGUUUCAAAAAUAAUCUUCAAGCAGAUGUGAUCUACCCUAACACUGUUGACUCUGUUAAUCAUUACCUUCUAGUAAGGCAACUUUAUCUAUUAGGUUUCCCUGAUGAUCUUCUAAAUUGGAUUUCAAGCUAUCUGAAUGUCAGGACGCAAAAAGUCCUCUUUAAAAAUGCUCUAUCUUGUAUUCUCCGAGUCACAUCCGGUGUCCCACAAGGGUGCCACUAAAGACACUAGAAUAACAAGAUGCGUAACACCAUACAAAUUUUUGGCACACGAUACUUGCCACAAGAGAACUAAGCACAUAGAUAUCAAGAAUCAUUUUACCAGAGAACAAAUUGAAAACAAACUAAUUUGUGUUAAGUAUCUUUCUACAGAUUAUAAUUGACUGAUAUUAUGACAAAGCCACUAUCAACUUCCACAUUCACUGCACUGCGAGACCAACUGGGGCUAACCGAAUUGAAUGAUGAAAAUAAUCUGAAUGAGCAAAAUGAAUUUUUAUAUGAAGUUUGAAUCUUUUAUAUAUAUAUAUAUAUAUAACCAUAAUCAAAUCAAAACAAUUACUAGUCAUUUGUUUAUCUAUGUUUAUCUAACUGAAACUUGAAUGAUGAAAAUAAUCUGAAUGAGCAUAAUAAUUUUUAAAUGAAGUUUAAAUCUUUUAUAAAUAUAAGUUAACGACCUGUUCUCGUCAAGAGCCAACGACCGCCCUAGCCAAGACCCGCUGGCGCCCCCACCCUUGCGUGUGAGAUCGCAACUUCAGCACAAGCACCGGAAGCAGCUACGGCGAUAAUGUGCAGCGUCAGGUUCCUUACGCCGGCGCGUUGACGGCAAGCUGAUGCGACGUAACAUUGUUGAGCUAUCAUGUGCAACGUCAGCACGCAGGCACAUUGUCGACGAGCUUGCGCAACAGAAUUUCUGACUUACGCAGCGUAAGCACCCUUGUGCCCACGAGCAGCUGAAGUGGGACUUCAAGCCGGACGGUUUGGGCAGAGUCGAUUCGCCGAUCAACAGGAACGGAGCGUCUUGAAUAAAUUUUCCGGCUCCGCCAGUUACCUCCGGUGACUGUUUGUAGGUGGGUCGAGGUCGACUUGGGCUUUGCUUUUAUUAUCGUCGCUGUAAUGUUUUCGAGAAGGAAAAGGCACUUGUUGUUAUGAUUGCUGUUGGCUAUACACUGACUGCCGUCUAUAUUCUUCGACUUAAAUAAGCUAACAUGAAUAUGUAUAUUUGUAUGACAAUGAUUCUUAGAAAUAAAGUAUUUGAUAAAGCAGAA